GCUCCUUCGUCUGGUUUGCGGAGGCUCUAGAGACCGGGACUGGGUGGACACUAGGAGGGAGGGCCUCUUGCCCGGUCUUUGGGGGGUCAGACCGAAGGGUCUCGAGUCCAUCUCCAAUGAGCUAAAGAACGAGCGCAUGUGUGCACCCCCUGGGCUUGGAACAGGGCAGGAGAGAAGGUGGGGCGCAUGACCAGAAUGCCCGGUGUUGCGUGCCAGCCUGCACCGUGUGCCUGGGCUCCUUCCAACAGCGAAGAAACAUUUCUUAUGCACCUGCUGUGUGCCAGGCCCAAGCUGGCAGAGAAACCCAGAUGAGGAGGCCCGGCCAGGGGAAGAAAAAUGGAAGGAGGUGUGAGGGAGAAGUACUUCGGGCUGUGAGGAGGAGCCCUAACACAAACUUAUUCACAGCAUUUCCCCACUUGCUGUGACCGAAUGAUGGUGUGCAAUGCUGACAUUGGAGAUGUGGAGAACAUCUAUUUUCUUGGGUGCUAAUCAUCAGAUGAAAAUGAACACAAGUGACAAAGAGUCAAUCCAUACUCUGUCGCAUCUCAUCCUUAGUGGUUGCGUUGAGUUGAACUAUCAUCUGAAAACAAAAAAUCAGCUACCAACUAACUGUCCUUCCACUUUUAGUCUUGGCUUGGAGUCUUUUCAAGUUAAAUAGAUGACCAGCUGUGUGGUACUUAACUUUGAUGUUCUGUUCAUCCUCACUGAAAGCAUCUAAUAACAUGGCUAAAACCAUGUUAAAAAGCAUAGGAGCAAGUACAUAGUCCUGCUUCAUUCUAUUGGUGACUGGGAAAGUGCAAAGUAUCAUUCAUUAUCUAGAACUCAUGCAAGCAUGAUGUCACAGAACUGUUGUACAAAACAGGCAACCAAAUCUGCCAUGAUCUUCCACAAGCCCUCAUGAAUGGCAGUAUCAAAGGCUGUCAGAUUGAUUCAUCAGCAUGCAAGGAAACAAUCACUUCCAUUUGAUUCUGAAGAUCGUUUGGCAAGAUAAGAUUAGCAGAUGUUGAAAUCCAUUUUUUUUCUUCUCUUUUAAUUAUAGUUUUUAUUUUCAAAACUUAUACAUGGAUAAUUUUUGACAUUUACCCCUACAAAACCCUCCCUUCCCCUCCUCGCCCAGUUGGCAAGUGAUCCAAUAUAUGUUAAAUAUGUGCAAUUCUUCCAUACACAUUUCCACAAAUAUCAUGCUGCGCAAGAAAAAUUAGGUAAAAAAGUGAGAAAAAAAUGCAAGCAAAC
rnacentral:lncRNA from 1 species